rnacentral:rRNA from 1 species
UGCGGCGCAUUAGCUAGUUGGUGAGGUAGAAGCUUACCAAGGUAAUGAUGCGUAGCCGAUCUGAGAGGAUGACCGGCCACACUGGAACUGAGACACGGUCCAGACUCCUACGGGAGGCAGCAGUAGGGAAUUUUCGGCAAUGGGGGGAACCCUGACCGAGCAACGCCGCGUGAACGAAGAAGGCCUUCGGGUCGUAAAGUUUUGUUGUAUAGGACGAAAGGUGUAUAUAGGAAAUGAUAUACAAGUGACGGUACCAUAUUAGAAAGCCACGGCUAACUACGUGCCAGCAGCCGCGGUAAUACGUAGGUGGCAAGCGUUAUCCGGAAUUAUUGGGCGUAAAGGGUGAGUAGGCGGUUUAAAAAGUCUGCAGUUAAAGACGGUGGCUUAACCACCGGAUGCUGUGGAAACUGAUAGACUAGAGUACAGGAGAGGUUAACGGAAUUCCAUGUGUAGCGGUGAAAUGCGUAGAUAUAUGGAGGAACACCAGUGGCGAAGGCGGUUAACUGGACUGGGACUGACGCUGAGGCACGAAAGCGUGGGGAGCAAAUAGGAUUAGAUACCCUAGUAGUCCACGCUGUAAACGAUGAGUACUAAGUGUUGGGGAGACUCAGUGCUGAAGUAAACACAUUAAGUACUCCGCCUGGGGAGUACGCUCGCAAGAGUGAAACUCAAAGGAAUUGACGGGUGCCCGCACAAGCGGUGGAGCAUGUGGUUUAAUUCGACGCAACGCGAAGAACCUUACCAGGUCUUGACAUACCGACAAAGGCCCUAGAGAUAGGGAGAUAGAUAUGGCGGAUACAGGUGGUGCAUGGUUGUCG